rnacentral:rRNA from 1 species
AGGGGAAGACACUGGAAUGUUCUUUCUUUCAAACUCGCGCUAAGGAUGAGUCGGCGGCAGAUUAGGCUGUUGGAGGGGUAACGGCCCACCAAACCUCAGAUCUGUAGGGGCCUUGAGAGAGGUUGCCCCGAGAAGGACACUGAGAUACUGGUCCUAGCCCUACGGGGUGCAGCAGGCGCGAAAACUCUACACUGCACGAAAGUGUGAUAGGGGAAUCCAAAGUGCUUAUACAUUAGUAUGGGCUUUUGCCAAAGACAAAUCCUUUGGCGAAUAAGUGGUGGGCAAGACCGGUGCCAGCCGCCGCGGUAACACCGGCGCCACAAGUGGCAACCGUAAUUAUUGGGCCUAAAGCGUUCGUAGCCGGUUCGGCAAAUCUUCUGUGAAAUCGUCUGGCUUAACCAAACGACGUGCAGGAGACACUACCAAACUAGAGAUCGGGAGGAGCUGGGGGUAUUCUUGGGGGAGCGGUAAAAUGUUGUAAUCCCUUGAAGACCACCUGUGGCGAAGGCGCCCAGCUAGAACGAAUCUGACGGUGAGGGACGAAAGCUAGGGGAGCGAUCCGGAUUAGAUACCCGAGUAGUCCUAGCUGUAAACGCUGUGAACUAGGUGUUGCAUAUACUUCGAGUAUGUG